rnacentral:pre_miRNA from 1 species
CAAAGUGCUGUUCGUGCAGGUAGCGUGUGCAGCCGACUACUGCCGAGUCAGCGCUUCGCGA